GUUGGAGCUGCCUAGCGGUCAAACGGACAAGUUACGUGGUGGUGUUCAGUCAGAUUACCUCAAGCUUGUUCUGGAAAUGAUGCUCCUUGCCAUAUUUGGAAGAUCAGCUCACAAAAGGAGAUAAUAUCGUCUUUACCACCUUAUCAAUACGAGCCCAAAUCUGAUGUCGAAAAUGCAGAUGACCAAGCUGAUCAAUCAACAUUGCCCUACUCAAUCAUCUCUUGCAUAGAACGUAACAGAUUUAUAAGACAUGGCUGAAAUGAUCAAGGUCACUGAUGAAAAAGCAUGCGAACAAAGAUAUGUGCACUGCAAGACAGACUCUGGAUCUGACCAGUGCCAGAAGAAAGUGCAUCUGGAGUGACUCAUACAUCAUAAAACAGUUCAGUUUAAUGCAGAUAAGAAUGGGGCCACCAACAAAGGUAACCAUUACAGGUUUACUACAAGAUUUUCCUCUUCCGUUCUGUCUAUAUAAUUAUUUACUUUUU